GGCUCCUGCCUUUCCACAGAAAGAGAGGGAGGGAGGGAAGAAGAGAGAGAGAGAAGUUCUAGUUUCUAAAAUAAAUGAAUUAAGGAAAGGGGGUGGAGAAGAGGAGAGGAACCGUCUGUUACUUUCAAUAGGGAUAAAUAAGCCUCCUCGUUAGCUUCUGAGACAGUGAGUGGCAGAUGAGAAAUGAGUGGGUCAUGGGUCAAGAAGCCAAUCUGUGCUCCCUGGGUGGGGUGGACCUUGAGGGGAAGUCUCAGGAAGUUCCACAGGAAGGCUGACUGUGGGUUGCGUGGGUUGAUUCCUAUGAACCUGGUAAGUCUGGCUCAGGGGACUGUGAGAGCCAGCUUCUCUUCUUUGGUAUCUAUUGCCAUAGAAACAGGUACUAUUGGGCCUCAGCACUCUGAGUAGGAGCUAGGGUUCCCUUUUGGCAAAAGGUUUGGGGAGUAAGGGAAGGGAAACCUGAAGGCAAAGCUGAUCUCCCCUCUUCUACCCUUCUCUCCUUUCUUCCUUCUUAUCUUCUUUCCUCUCUUUCCUAACCAAGGAGUGGCUAAUGUCCGCACGUACUGUUUCGCAGGCGUUUCCUAAACAAUAUCAAAGGAUCAUAAGUUCAUGUUUGCACGCAUUUAUCUUCCACUUCUGAAAACUUCCUGGUUAAGCAGAUCUGGCAGUGAAGUGUUAUGGCACAUGUCUACUGAAGACCAGCUGAGACAUCUAGCCUUGUGGAAAUAACAACUACUGGAUUCUUGGACAUUCCAUUGGUAGACAACCAUUGUUGGACUAGCUGGACCACAGCCUGUUUGGUGAGACAUCCUAUGUCAGAAGGUGUGUAGUGGCUGUGCAGACUCUCAGAGAGGCACAGAACCUUCAUCUGGUGAUGGAUGGAGAUAGAGACAGAGACCCACACUGGAGCACCGGACUGAGCUCCCAAGGUCCCAAUGAGAAGCAGAUGGAGGGAGAACACGAGCAAGGAUGUCAGGACCACGAGGGGUGCACCCACCCACUGAGACAGUGGGGCUGAUCUAUUGGGAGCUCACCAAAGCCAGCUGGACUGUGACUGAAACAGCAUGGGAUAAAACCGGACUCUCUGAUCAUGGCGAACAAUGAGGACUGAUGAGAAGCUAACACACCAAUUUUAAUGAAGGAAAAAAGUAUAACAAUUGCUCCUCUUAAAGUUGAAAACAUCAUAUGAAUUUGAGGAAGGCAGAGGUAGCAAGGCUUGGUGGAGGACCAUUUAGCUCUCUGCGCUGCUAGUUUUAUGUUCACUUGACACAAGCUGGAAUCUAUAGAGGGAGCCUCAACAGGAAAAAUGCCUCCAUAUGAUCUGGCUUUAAGGCAUUUUCUUAAUUAGUGAUUGAUGCAGAGGGUUCAUCCCAUUGUGGGUAGAGUCACCCCUGGGCUGGUGGUUCUGGAUUCUAUAAGAAAGCAGGCUGAGCAAGCCAUGAGGAGUAAGCCACCAAGCAGCAUUCCUCCAUGGCCUCUGCAUCAGCUCCUGGCUCCGGGUUUCUGCCCUGUUUGAGUUCCUAUCCUGACUUCCUUUGAUAAUAAACUGUGAUGCAGAAACAUAAGCUGAAUAAAUCCCCAAGUUGCUUCUUUGGUCAUGGUGUUUCAUCACAGCAAUUAAAACCUUAACUAAGACACUCUCUUAUGACAGAAGGCUUCUGUUAUGAUCUAUGUAAGAGCUCAGGGGAUAAGCAGCCUGUUUUCUGUAUUCUCCUGUGGUAUUGCACUCUAGAGAGGAGAGACUUGCUCCAGACACAGGACUGAGUAAGGUGUCUCUUGAACAUCAGGACUCUCUACUGAUUGUUGGGGUUAUCUACCAUUGAUGUAUUACACAUAGAGAAGUUAGAUUAGUACACAAGGAUGGUAUCCAAAUAUGAAAUAAAACUCAGAGGAUACUGGGGCCUAAGGAA